rnacentral:misc_RNA from 1 species
AACACCUCAAAGCCUUUUUUUUGUUAAAAAGGAUUUGGACUUGAGCAAUCCCAACAUUUUUUAAGUAAAGUGGCGGGUUGCUUGAAAUUCAGGUGCAGCUGGACAUUCUCCUGAGCUAAAAGCAUAUUCAUUUAGUCCCGUCAAACGGAUUAUUACUUUUGCUGCAGCUAAUAUAAAGGGAGUUUGACCAUUUUGGCUGACUGAUGCAGGAUUUUCACAAGAGUACUUCAAAACCACUCUUGUUAA